rnacentral:rRNA from 1 species
GACGUGGGGGGCCAGCGUUGCUCGGAAUUACUGGGUGUAAAGGGUUCGUAGGCGGUGUAGCAAGUCGGGAGUGAAAUCUCUGGGCUCAACCCAGAGACUGCUUCCGAAACUGCUGUGCUUGAGUGUGGGAGAGGCGCGUGGAAUUGCAGGUGUAGCGGUGAAAUGCGUAGAUAUCUGAAGGAACACCAGUGGCGAAAGCGGCUUCCUGGUCCAGUACCGACGUUCAGGCACGAAAGCGUGGGGAGCAAACAG